AUUGAACGCUGGCGGCAUGCCUUACACAUGCAAGUCGAACGGCAGCACGGGGCAACCUGGUGGCGAGUGGCGAACGGGUGAGUAAUGCAUCGGAACGUACCUUUCAGUGGGGGAUAACGUAGCGAAAGUUACGCUAAUACCGCAUACGAUCUAAGGAUGAAAGCAGGGGAUCGCAAGACCUUUUGCUCCUGGAGCGGCCGAUAUCUGAUUGGCUAGUUGGUGAGGUAAAGGCUCACCAAGGAAACGAUCAGUAGCUGGUCUGAGAGGACGACCAGCCACACUGGAACUGAGACACGGUCCAGACUCCUACGGGAGGCAGCAGUGGGGAAUUUUGGACAAUGGGGGCAACCCUGAUCCAGCAAUGCCGCGUGAGUGAAGAAGGCCUUCGGGUUGUAAAGCUCUUUUGUCAGGGAAGAAAAGGCUGUGGCUAAUAUCCACAGCUGCUGACGGUACCUGAAGAAUAAGCACCGGCUAACUACGUGCCAGCCGCCGCGGUAAAAC
rnacentral:rRNA from 1 species